UAGGGCCCAGAGACCUCCCUGUCCGCUCAGGGAAAUAUUUCCGCUGACUGCGCCGGCGGAAUGACCUGCACGGACAGCCACGAGGUCUCGCAACUAAACG
rfam:Methanosarcina barkeri str. Fusaro, complete genome.